AGAGUUUGAUCCUGGCUCAGAACGAACGCUGGCGGCGUGCCUAACACAUGCAAGUCGAGCGCGAAAAGGGUAACCUGAGUAGAGCGGCGUACGGGUGCGUAACACGUGGGUAAUCUGCCUUGGAGUCGAGGAUAACUUUCCGAAAGGUUAGCUAAUACUCGGUAAGCUUACGGAGACUUCGGUCUUUGUGAGAAAAGUAGGCCUCUAUUUAUAAGCUUACGCUUCGAGAUGAGCCCGCGGCCCAUCAGCUAGUUGGUGGUGUAACGGACCACCAAGGCAAUGACGGGUAGCUGGUCUGAGAGGACGAUCAGCCACACUGGAACUGAGAUAUGGUCCAGACUCCUAUGGGAGGCAGCAGUGGGGAAUUUUCCACAAUGGGCGAAAGCCUGAUGGAGCAACGCCGCGUGUGUGAUGAAGGUUUUCGGAUCGUAAAGCACUUUCGACCGGGACGAAAAACCUCUGGCUAACAUCCAGGGGCCUGACGGUACCGGGAGAAGAAGCACCGGCUAACUCUGUGCCAGCAGUCGCGGUAAUACAGAGGGUGCAAGCGUUGUUCGGAAUUAUUGGGCGUAAAGCGCGUGUAGGCGGCUUUGCAAGUCAGAUGUGAAAGCCCUCGGUUUAACCGAGGAAGUGCGUCUGAAACUGCAGAGCUUGAGUGUCGGAGAGGAUGGCGGAAUUCCGCAAGUAGAGGUGAAAUUCGUAGAUAUGCGGAGGAACACCGGUGGUGAAGGCGGCCAUCUGGACGACUACUGACGCUGAGACGCGAAAGCGUGGGGAGCAAACAGGAUUAGAUACCCUGGUAGUCCACGCUGUAAACGAUGAGAACUAGGUGUCGUGGGUGUUGAUCCCCGCGGUGCCGCAGCUAAUGCAUUAAGUUCUCCGCCUGGGAAGUACGGCCGCAAGGCUAAAACUCAAAGGAAUUGACGG
rnacentral:rRNA from 1 species